AGGUUAUAGCUCAGUGGUAGAGUACAUGCUUAGAAUGCACGAGGUCCUGGGUUCAAUUCCCAGUACCUCUG
rnacentral:tRNA from 1 species